GAUGAACGCUGGCGGCGUGCCUAAUACAUGCCAGUCGAGCGAACAGACGAGGAGCUUGCUCCUCUGACGUUAGCGGCGGACGGGUGAGUAACACGUGGAUAACCUACCUAUAAGACUGGGAUAACUUCGGGAAACCGGAGCUAAUACCGGAUAACAUGUUGAACCGCAUGGUUCAACAGUGAAAGACGGUCUUGCUGUCACUUAUAGAUGGAUCCGCGCCGCAUUAGCUAGUUGGUAAGGUAACGGCUUACCAAGGCAACGAUGCGUAGCCGACCUGAGAGGGUGAUAGGCCACACUGGAACUGAGACACGGUCCAGACUCCUACGGGAGGCAGCAGUAGGGAAUCUUCCGCAAUGGGCGAAAGCCUGACGGAGCAACGCCGCGUGAGUGAAGAAGGUCUUCGGAUCGUAAAACUCUGUUAUUAGGGAAGAACAAAUGUGUAAGUAACUAUGCACGUCUUGACGGUACCUAAUCAGAAAGCCACGGCUAACUACGUG
rnacentral:rRNA from 1 species